AGUUUGGCCUUAUUUUCUAGCAAAAACUCAUUGCUUAGCUGCAUUUAAUAAUCCAUGGAACAUUUCUAUUAACUUCAGUGUGUGAAUUGUGUGACUGCAGAAUGGGUAAAAAAAAAGUGAGAAUCAGGAAUACAAAAUAUGCAGAAAAUGAAAAUAAGUGAGAUGUUAAAUAUUUGAUCAAGGCCUUUAUUUUCAGGUAACCAGUUGCCAUCUUGGGGUCUCAAAUGCCAACAGAAGCCACAGAAUACUAUUCUGAAUUAUUAAAGUGACUAGGAGAACCUUGUUUCUUUUUACUACUUUUAAAUGAGUAUGUAGCCUCUCAAGCUAACCUUUGCUUAAACAUUUAACAUAGACAUUGGGUGAAAUAUAAAAAAGCAAAAGUUCUCAGUCUAAUACUCAACCUGUAAUUAUAAAUCAGAUUACAUAAUACAGCUCAGCCAUUUCAUUUUAUUUUUCUGUGUUCUAACAAUUUUUUUCAGUUUGAGAGGAACCUAACCAAGAUUAGUUGAAAGUCUGCAUUCUAGAAUAUUUUUAUCUGUAUGUGUACUGAAAAGUCCACCAGUCUCCCUUUUACAUUUUACUUUUACCCACUCAAAGCUUGCUUUUCCUCAGCGACAGGUCAGAAGUCAAGGUUAGAAUAGGUUCAUCCAAAUACAGAGGCUGCCCCAGUCUACGGCCUCAUCACAAUCCAUCCACAAGCAAGCUUUCCAGAAUGGCCUCAGGUCCAUCCCAGGACUGUGACUCUCAGCCAUCUGCACAUUGCUUACUGCCCAAAGAGUUCCUCCUGAAACUUCAUCAGCACACUGUUAAGUGAUAGAAGGAAACUGCAGAAUAGUGUUAUACUGUAGCCAGAUCUCAUUUUAGUAAUGACAUUUUUAUGCCUAGAAAUAAUGUUUUAAAUGUUCAAAAAUAUGAGCUAAGUGGUCAGUUCCAGCUUUUUUCCCUGUAGAGACCUGUCUCCUGCAGCCUUGGGUGGGAUGAUUCCAAGGCAUGCUCUUCACACAGUUUUCUAGGGUUUUCCCCUAGGAUUAAGCCCUAAACAUCUAUUAUAGUAGCUGGCUUAAUCUUUUAUUGAGCUCCCCUUUUCUUCCCUGUAUUGCUUCUUCAUUACUCUGCUGGUGUUCCAUGUACCUCUCAAAUAACUACUUGCAUUAAUUCUUACCUCAGGAUCUGGUUCUGAGGCACUCAAGCUGAGACAUCCUCUAUGUAAAAUCUUCCUCCUUCCUGAGGUGGCAUUAGGUGGCCACCUUCCUUGAGCCAUAAUGGCAGAUAGGAUCCAGGAGAAAUGAAACUUACCAAUAAAGGAGAGAUCUGAAAAUAUUAUUCCCAUUAUACCCAUAAUCCAGUAGUCUUUUUGUGAGCUUAAGCAAAUACAAGACUUGCAUUUAGGUAUUCCUCCUUCUAAAAAAUUAGGAGGUAGUUGCCUCUCCAAAAUGGAUUUCUCAGCCAUUGCGUCUUCACCGCUUAGGUUAGGUAAAGCUUGGCUAUUAUAUGAGGUUCUUACCUUCCAGCACAAGGGGACGCUACUUUUUUAAAAAAAUAUUUUUAUUUCCAUAGGUUAUUAGGGAACUGGUGGUAUUUGGUUACAUGAGUAAGUUCCUUAGAGGAGAUUUGUAAGAUUUUGGUAUACCCAUCACCCGAGCAGUAUACACUGAACCCAAUUUGUAGUCUUUUAUCUCUCACUCCCUUCCCAUUCUUCCCCUCUGAGUCCCCAAAGUCCACUGUGUCAUUCUUAUGUCUUUGCAUCCUCAUAGCAUAGCUCCCACUUAUGAGAAUAUACCAUGUUUGGUUUUCCAUUCCCGAGUUACUUCACUUAGAAUAACACUCUCCAAUCUCAUCCAGUUGCUGUGAAUGCCAUUAAUUCAUUCCUUUUUUCUUGCCUAGGAAACCAGGCUUCCUCCUAGACCAAGCUUUAGUCUUCACUACCUCAGGCAGAGAAAGCUUCCCUUGCAUGAGGAAGUCAUUGCCCAGCCUCUUCUCUGCUCUCUGUGUGCAGCUUCUCCCUCCCUGGCCUAGGGCCCUGACCCAGAAUGACUCUUCAGCCCACGAUUUUAAUCGAAGGCCUCUAAUCAACCUGUGGUACUACAUGCUACACAAGAUUCUCAGAAAUCCCUAAGCUUUCUCAUGAGCCUCCCACCCUGCUGGGAAAUAAGCUGACUUAUCAAUUAAAGAAUAUCCAAAGAUGUUAAGCCACUUAAUCCUCCCCAAAACUCAGUGCGGUAGGGGUUGUUACCUCCCAUUAUACGAAAGGAAAGUGAGGCUUGGGAAGUAAAGAGACUUGUCCAAGAUCACCUUCUGGAGCCACAUUUUACACCACAGGUAAGAGAAAAGGGAUCCGAGAGGGCACGGACACUGUGUCUUCAGACUGAGUGGGGAAGUACCAUUUACCUGGGUACUUAUUGGGUGCAAGUUGCAUGCCCCCGGUGCUAAUACACAAGGGACAAAUUUAUGGGCCUCCUAAAACUGUGGACAGUGCACCCGUCCAGCCAACUUCAUGGGUGCACCGUGAGGCUCUGGUGAUGUGGACAGGCUUAUAAAACACUCUCCAUACUAAGAUGAGGUUGUGUUCCUGUGUCUAGGAAACGCUGGAAAUUAAGUGUACAGCAAUCAAAAAACCUUGACAUCAUCCUUGAUGUCUCUCUUUUUCGCACACUCCAAUUCACUCCAUUAGGAAACUGUAUUGGCAGAAUCUAGUGAAUCUUGUCCUUCAAGGCCUCUCUCUGCAAGGCUCCCAUGAGCCCUGGGGGCUUAUGGAGAGUUCUGGGUGGGCAGAGGAAGCCAGACUGCGUUAGGGAAGCAAAUUUGGGACCUAAAUUUCCUAAGAAGGUUUUAGGGGAUAGGGACCCCAAUCUCUAAGACCCCAGGAUUCUGUUAAGAUUUAUUUUCUCAUUCCAAAUAAAUGUUCACUGGCAAGCCCUAA
rnacentral:lncRNA from 10 species